GGCUGCAUGGCGUAAUGGUUUGAGGUUGGACUAGGACUCUGGAGACCAGGGUUUGAAUCCCUGCUCAACCG